AUGGAGGACCACAAAAUGGUACAAGUUACCGUUUAACACUCAUUUGCAAAUCUGAGGUAAAGAUGACUGACGCUAAGCGAGUGAGCUGAGGUAAAGAAGACUGACGCUAAGCGA